UUUUAAGGUUAUAAGAGUAAUUUGAGUACCUCUCUCUCUCUCUCUAUUAUAUUCCUGGCCCUCUUUCUCCUAGAAUGGCGUCCAAAAAAGAUAAACCAUCUAUAUGUAAGUUUGAGACAGAAGGUGUGGCGGUGGGCUUAGCAACUUAUAUUGCAAAUCAUCUAAGGUUAUAAGACCAGAUCUGAUCUUUAAGGUUAUAAGACCUCAUCUACCAGCAAAUCUUUGUGCUCACUCCAGUUUGCUGCUAGAGUGAAUUCGUGUGACGAUGUGAGAUUGGGAUUCCUCAACGACAAACUGUGCGAUCUUUAGAUUCUUCUCGAUUGAGUUAUGGAUGAAGUUGUAGAAGAUAUUGGGUCUCUGCAUCAUACUACAACUAUAAUCCGAUUUGAAGUAACUUUUAUUUGUGAAGAGGAGUGAAAAGGUUUCUAACAUGUUUAGUUUUAUCAUGUAUUCAGUUCUGUAUCAUUGCCUGUAUUUUUUAAGUUCAAUUCACAUGCAUUCUUACAGGUAUAAGAAUAGCCCAGAUCAGAUCUGAUCUUUAAGGUUCUAAUUUCGGUUAUUAACCGAAUAACCGAAUAGUAAAUUCGGAUAUUCGGUUGUUCGGUUAUUCGGUUAUUGUACGAUUCGGUUAGUUGUUCGGAUAUCAAAAUUACAUUAAUUUCGGUUUUUGAUUAUAACCGAAUAGUCUAUUCGGUUCGGUUAUAACCGAAUGCUCAGCCCUACAUGGAAGUAUAAAAACCUCCCGUCUUCUGAUCUACCCCUUUAAUCGUGCAUAAAACUAAGGGUAUAAACGAAUCGAGUCGAUCCGAGUAUUGAGUUGCUCAGUUUUGGUUUAUAAAAUUUAUCGAGUAUAAAAUAAGGUUUAAUUGAGGCUCAUUUAGCUACCGAGUCGAGCAAGAUUUUAAAUUGAGCACGAUUUUGAAUCGAGCCCGAACAGUUUGAUCUUUUCGAAUAAAUAUGAUCCGAGUAUCAAUAGAAAAUUAUAAUUUAAGAAUGUUCGAGUAAUUUAUCGAAUUUUAAAAUUUAUUUAUAUUUGACUUAUUUAUAUUUCGAAUGAAGUUCGAAUAGAAUCUUUAAUGAGAAGAGUACGAAUCGAGUCUGAAUUGUUUGUCGACAUAAAAGACCACAAAAUGACGCCGAACUUGGACCCCUCAAGUCGCGUAUCGUCGGAAGUCGGCGCAGGCAGGAAGACAUUGUCAACUGACUCAUCUCCGUGGACCCUCCGGAGCCGAACGUUUAUCAAAGCCCUAAAAUAGCCCGAGCAAGAUGGCACGAAAACCAAAAAUUUCAAAGGUCAUUGGCACUCGCACGCAACCGAGAUCUAUGACCAACCCGCAGCGGAGAUUAUUGGCACGGGCGUGUCAGUUAGAUGGAAAGAACCCUAAUGAUUUGCAGCAGGAGAUUGCAUAUCCCGAUAAUUAAGGUUGUAUCCCUUCUUUUAACCAUUACACGAUUCCACCGUUAUAUUUAUAUUGUUGUGGUCCAUCUGGAGUUACAAAAAUAGGAGAUUGUUGUGGUCCUUACAAAAAUAGGAUUGUAUAUUUGGUUAUAUGAAUUGAUGCUUUAGUUGUUAGAUAAUACGUAGACUGAACAUCAAUUUUGAUUUGUAUAUAUCUCUGCAUUUUCAUGGUUAAUUUUCAUUUUUGCAUUUGUAUCUUGAUGUUGAGUUUGUGAAUUUACUGAAUAACUCAGAUACGUAGUUCAUAGGGAGGUUUAUUAGGGUUGGAACGAGUUAUGAGCUAAAAGUUUUGAAUAAAUGGAAUCUAAUUGAGGUUAAAUUUGGU
rnacentral:lncRNA from 1 species